rnacentral:lncRNA from 1 species
GAGCUGGAAGCUCUGGUGGAUAGGGGCAGGUCUGCUCAUUCACUGCUGCCUUCCCUGCACCUGGUACCAUGCACACAGAAUAAGCCUAGCAGAAUGCCUGUGGAUGGACUGACCAAUGAAAGUAAUGAGGUGCUGGGACCCGAAGGCUGAGUGGCAUGAGUCAUGAGGAGGCAUAGGUGGAGUUGGAGGUGGGAGGAGGAUGAUGUAGCAAAGGGCCAGGCGGGUUCAGGCACGUUCCUGGCGGAAGGUGCUCUGAUGCUGUGGAAGACAGUUUCUUCAUGGAUUCCAACUGCUUGAUUUGUGGGAAUGACUCAACCAUGCCUGUUCUCCCCCACCUUUGAUGAGGCAUCUGACACUGAGUUAAUUCAUUUGCAUGGUGUAGACUAUAGUAAAUCCAGUGUUGGGACAUCAGAAGACACUGGAUUCACUCCCUGCCAUCCACCGCCACCUUCCAUUCCAGCCUCCAAGUCUGCAGCAAGGGAAGAUGCAGAUGGAUUUAAAGAACCAUGGAGGAUCUGCUAGAAGAUACUUAGAGAUAAUUUGGUCCACGUGCCUUCAUUCAUCAGAUAAGGGGACCCCUACUCCAUGAGCGAAGGGACUUUGUAAUCCUGGUGCCGGGUUGAACGAAAACCUCAGCCUCUGUUAGUAUUGUCUGAAACACACUGCUUGAGGAGUGUGUGUUAAGGACACUCUAAAAAAGAGACUUGUGGGAGGUUUCAGGCAUUUGGAAGUUUUAGAUACGACUUCAAGUAAGAUUCACUUUCGGGUGAGGUAUUUAUAUCAGCCAGAGUCCCAGCAGGAAGAUGGCAUCUUCCACAAGAUAAGUGGGCCAAGUUUAAAGAUGAGAUGAUCUACACAGGUCUGGGCAGGGCUAUGGGGUUCCCCAGGGGUGGAGGUGCCCCAGGGAGGGGAGUAGCACUAGCACUAAGCCUGAGAGUGCA